UAGCUCUCUCUCCCUCUCUCUCUCUCUCUCUCUCUCUCUCCCCCUCCCCGAUGAAAGGAGUUUGCAGCGUGCAUGCAUAUGUUCUUAUCAUGCACUGGUAGCGGUUGAAGCUGCCAGCAUGAUCUUAUAACUCCCAACUUCGUUUAGGGAAGAUCAGAUCAUCUGGCAGUUUCACCUGUUACUGGUAGCAUGAGAUCAUCAAAACCCUAAUUCCCACAUAACAACUUAUAAUCCCUAGCUAUUGGAAAUAAAAAGAUGAAAAGAAAGGAGAGGAAAAUUGGGGAUGUGAUUACAGUGGCCCUUCGGGGAUGUCUGAUGAGACAAAGUUGUUUGUAUAUAUGCUGGCUAUAUUGCAGCCAAAACUGGAGUACAGGCUGCAGUCAUUUUAGUGCUCAUCUUCUCAAAUUGAGAAAUGGCAUAUGCAGCCACAUAUGGCAUGCAUGAAUACCACCUUAGGAGCACUUACAUGACACUGAUACACUACCGUACAGUGUCAAUAGUACAACGACAUGUAAAUUUCUCUUUACAUGACGUUGUAUUAUUGGCACGACGUUGACAUCACAAUGGCAAUGUAUCUGUGCUAUGUAAUUUGCUCUCCACCUUUAGGAUUCAGAAUGAAAAUAAGUAUCAUAUAUUUUAAUCACUUCAUCACAAUGCAAACUAGACACAAAGAUUAGUUCUGACAAAUUUUACUUCUCAGUAGAUAACCUGUUAAAUUGGCUGUAAUUUCCUAAAUGUGCAACGGGAUAGCAGUGAUGAUGUAAUUUCUCUACUGUGAGCCCAUGUGAAUAAUGUAAUGAGCCUCUCUCUCUCUCUCUCUCUCUCUCUCUCUCUCUCUCUCUCUCUCUCUUAAGAGUUUCUCUGCAUGUUGGUCGUUGAACUUUGGGCCUUCUCUUUUGGUAGAAUGUAUAAAUGGAAAAGAUUCCAUGGGAGUUUUCAGAUUUCCCUGGAGAACCAAAUAAUCUAAAACGUCACUUGUUUGAUUCUCCCAACUCUU